rnacentral:rRNA from 1 species
GUCCACGCCGUAAACGAUGGGCACUAGGUGUCGGGGGUAUCCACUCCCUCGGUGCCGCCGCUAACGCAUUAAGUGUCCCGCCUGGGAAGUACGGUCGCAAGAUUAAAACUCAAAGGAAUUGACGGGGGCCCGCACAAGCGGUGGAGCAUGUGGUUCAAUUCGAUGCAACGCGAAGAACCUUACCAGGUCUUGACAUCCCGCUGCCCGGCAUAGAGAUAUGCCUUUCCCUUCGGGGACAGCGGUGACAGGUGGUGCAUGGUUGUCGU